CCUACGGGAGGCAGCAGUGGGGAAUAUUGGACAAUGGGCGAAAGCCUGAUCCAGCCAUGCCGCGUGUGUGAAGAAGGCCUUCGGGUUGUAAAGCACUUUCAGUGGGGAAGAAAGCCUUGGGGCUAAUACCCUCGAGGAAGGACAUCACCCACAGAAGAAGCACCGGCUAACUCCGUGCCAGCAGCCGCGGUAAUACGGAGGGUGCGAGCGUUAAUCGGAAUUACUGGGCGUAAAGCGCGCGUAGGCGGUCUGAUAAGCCGGUUGUGAAAGCCCCGGGCUCAACCUGGGAACGGCAUCCGGAACUGUCAGGCUAGAGUGCAGGAGAGGAAGGUAGAAUUCCCGGUGGAGCGGUGAAAUGCGUAGAGAUCGGGAGGAAUACCAGUGGCGAAGGCGGCCUUCUGGACUGACACUGACGCUGAGGUGCGAAAGCGUGGGUAGCAAACAGGAUUAGAUACCCGGGUAGUC
rnacentral:rRNA from 1 species